rnacentral:lncRNA from 10 species
GAUGGAGGAGCGGGGAGCUCCAGCCAGAGAAGAGGAAAGAGAAAGGAGAGAGCUAGGAACUGGGAAGGAAAAGAGCUAGGAGGAGACCAUGAGACAGAAAGAGAAGAGGGUGAAGAGAGAGGAUAGUGGCUGGGAGGAGAGAGGAGGAGGGAGGAGCACAGAGGGAGAGGAGAGGAAACAGCCAGAGAAUCUGCUAGAAGGGAGAGAGGAGAGAGAAGAGCCGGACAGGGAGAGCAGAAGUGAGAAAAAGGAGGGUGGCCACAGAGAGGACAGCGAGAAAAAGAGAACAGGAAGAGGGGAAAAGAGAAGAAAUGGGAGAGGGAAGAAGGGUGGGAGAGAAAACGGAACAGAGAGGGGGCACAGACAGCGGACUGGACCGAGAGGGAGAUGGAGCGGUGCGGAGGGGGAGAGAGAAAGAGGGAGGGAAGGAGGGUAGGAGAGGGCUGGAGAUAGGGGAAAAGAGAAAAGGAGGGUAGGAGAGGGCUGGAGAGAGAAGGGAAGUUAAGAAGGGAAGGAGAGAGACAGACAUUAGGGAAGAAGGAAAGGAGAAAGGAAAAAAUACAAAAAAGGGCAGAGAGAAAAGAACAGGCCGGGCAUGGUGCCUCGCACCUGUGGUCCCAGCACUUUGAGAGGCUAAGGCAGGAGGAUCACUGGAGCCUGGGAGGUGGAGGCUGCACUACUGCACUCCAGCGGGUGAGUGAGCGAGAAAAAAAGCAGAAAGGAAAGAAGAGGUGCAUGAGUGUGGAAGAGCAAUAUGGAGAGAAAGAAGGGAGAGAGGAUUGGAAGUAGCGACAGAGGACCAUGCCCCUCCAGCUGAGGAGGGGGCGCCCCUAAGACAGCGUCAGCCCAGAGACCGGGGCAGGAAGCAGGAACGUGAAGCAGGUUAGGAGCCAGUGUGAGGCACGGAGAGGGCCGGGUAGCUGGGCGGCGGGGGUGUCGUGGGCACAGCCCAGGCUACUGCGGGGACAGGCUGCCAGACCCGGCGGGUCCAGGUUGGGAACUCGGCCAUGCAGCAGAAACGUUCCCUGCCUCAACAGGGCGCAGCCACCCCGGGGCCAUCUCUGUGACCCAGGGAGAGAAAGGACAACGAAUGGGACUAGACGAGGAUGGGGAGGAACAGAGCAGCUGUGGAAGGGCAGAAAGAAGCAGAGACUGGUGGAGUCAGUGGAGACUGAAGGGCAAGAGGAGAGGAGAGAAAGGACAUAAUUGCUUGCAUACCAGAAGUGCUCAAUAAAUGUAGUCCUUGCCUUGGAAGAGGGCAGAGAGCUCAGAAACACAAGGAAAGGACAGAAGAGGGACCGGGGAGGAAGAGAGUGAGGAGAGAGGAGCCAGAGGCACAGGAGGAACAAGUAGAGGGCGCCGAGGACGGCACACCCGAGGCGGGCACACCCGAGGCGGGCACACCCGAGGACGGCACACCCGUGGCGGGAGACGGAGUGUGUGAGGAGAGGCGAGGA